GCAGAGGGGAGGAUUUUGUGUGGGAGUGUCUGUGUGUAUUGUACGGAUUGAUUGGUUGUAUUUCAAAACCCUGUGGUCUGUGCUAUGUUUGUGGAUUGUGAAUAAAAGAGGCUGUAUAUGCAAGUACAGUCAGUUCUGCUUGACCUCAAAACGAAGUGUCGUCUCAUUAUUGGGGGAAUUGGAUUGUAUGCUGAUUGCCAGGAGUGUAAUGC